AGCGGUGUAGCUUAACCGGAUUAAAGCUUCGGUCUCAUAAACCGAAGAGUAAAGGUUCGAGUCCUUUCACCGCAACCA
rnacentral:tRNA from 1 species